AGCACUGGGGAGGGACUUAUGAUUUUUGUUUUGGCUUAGGUUUCUUGUUCCAACACAUGUUAAAAGCUUUUUUUUCGUUGUUUUUUUUUUUUUUUUGAAUCGCCAAAACUAUACUGACAGAAAAGAAUAUUUAUCUACAGGUGGACAUAAGUAUGAGAAAUGUGAAAAGUCUAUGGCGAUUAGACCCCAUCGUGAUGUCAUCUAUUCCAGGAGGGUGGUGAAGAUGUAGUAGAUUAGAGAUCCACCCUAUGGGGUCUAGAUUCUGGUGGUGAUGAGAUGAGUCAGCUCAUUGGUGGAAGUGAUGGGAGUGGGACAUGGAGAGAACUGUGAAUGAAUAAUGAAUACAGCACAAAGACAGUCUUCCUGACUGAACUUACACUGAGCUUUAUUGGAUUUUUAAAUUUCCGACAGCCCUUGGACACGGGGGCCUGGCUUUUUUCAACUCCAGGAUGUCAUCUUCAACUUUUAACUUUCAAACAUCAAAGAGAAAAUUUUAAAAAUCAAAUAACUAAUUUAUGGUGGAGGGAGGGUCAUGCAUUUUCAGGCAGUCACUCAGGGAGGUUCAAGGGAAAAUAUCUGUAGCUUAAAAAAGAAAAAAAAUGGAGUCACACCCCAGCUACCCCUCUCUUCUGAUAAAUAAAGAACAGUACCUAAAAGUAAUAACCAGCAUUUUUAUUAAUUUAUUCAUUUUCCAUUCUGCUUAUCCUGUUAGGGGUUGUUGGGGGGCUGGAGCCUAUCCCAGCUGACACUGGGUGAGAGGCAGGGUACACCCUGGACAAGUCACCAGACUAUCACAGGGCUGACACAGAGAGACAGACAACCAUUCACACUCACAUUCACACCUAUGGACAAUUUAGAGUCACCAAUUAACCUGCAUGUCUUUGGACUGUGGGAGGAAGCUGGAGCACCUGGAGAAAACCCACGCUGACAUGGGGUUUGAAUCUCCCACCUUAGGUUUGAAUCAGAAAUCUUGUUGUGGCUCAACAAUGCUAACCAGCGCACCACCAAUUUGCUUUUUUACGAUUCUGAAUUCUUCAGUGAGACAGACGAAGAUGUAACUGUGGUAUAAAAAUCCAUUGUCAGGCCUGUUGCAUAAGAUCUUUAUCACACUGUCGUCCAUCAGAGUUCAAAUUGAAAUAAGUUUAUUGCGAGUAUUCGAAGGUUUCACUCAAACUUACUGAGCCAGUCCCGAGGGCAGACUGACCUGUUUCAGUAUUACAUUCAGUGCUGUUCACAUUCCCGUCCCAUUGUGGAUGCUGCCUGGCAGAGCCCUUUUAUUGUUACGCCCUGUAUGUCUGUCACCAUUGUGUCCUGAGCUCAGCACAUUCAACCUGGCUCUGACACCACUGUCAGAUGCAGACAGAGACAUUAACUUGGGUACAGAUUGUAAAGGCAUCCACUUUUAUCUUUUAGCUCACAUCUAGGGUGUAACGUGUCACCUGUGUUCCUUAUAAGUAAUGAAACCCACUAAAUUGUGAAGGACAUUACAUCACUGAUGGGUGUGGAUGAGUGGCCCAGUGUGGAAAAUGUGCCCUACCAUAAUUCCCUAAUGGUUGGCCUGUAAUAUUUCACAUAGACAAUAAAUCAAAUCACUCUGUAACUUGAAAGUGUCUCUGGUGGUUUGUCUCAGUUCACAAACAGUUAUAACUCCACAGGAAAUGUAGAGAGCAAGGCUGAAAGUCAAGCAUAUUUUCAUCUUCCUGCGUCUCUGUUAUCUCUCCUGUUCCUGUCUGACGUUCUGCUGAUGUCACUAUCAGAUCAACUCUGAGAUGUCCUCUCUGUCUGCAGCCCGUCCCAGAGUGCACUGCAGCAACAGCCUGUUGAAGAUAAACUACAUUGCGGUCGUCCUCUCUGUCUCCCCUGCUCAAAUUGAUGAUAAAGAAGACAUGUCUCUCAGCUGAAGCUUUUAAUGAGCUCACGUUGUCAGAUAAAGAACCACUUUCCAUCCAUCCAGAGUCUCACAGGAAGUCCGACAUGUGCCACAAAGACAGGUGGAGAGGAUGUCGUCCAUUGAUCGCUGAUUAAUUUGCUCCUGUCCAGAAAUAAAUUCUCAUGUGAUUCACACACAGAAUUAUCUGUCUUUAUGAUUUACAAUAAAAAUAAAGUUGAUCUGC